UUACAGUAAUGAAUGGUCCAAACAUCUGACAUUUACACCAGAAUUUUAGAUGUGCUGGCAACUAACUUUCCUUCCUUGGAUGUCUGAGCGA
rnacentral:snoRNA from 1 species